rnacentral:tRNA from 1 species
CGGAGUAGCUCAAUUGGUAGAGCGACUGUUUUGUAAUCAGCAGGUUGGGGGUUCAAGUCCCUUCUCU